AAUAUGGGACAAUGGGGGCAACCCUGAUCCAGCCAUUCCGCGUGUUUGAAGAAGGUCNNNGGAUUNUCACGCACGUAAAGUGGNGGGNAAGGGCUUUCGGCUAAUACCCGGAAGUUUUGACGUUACCAACUGAAUAAGAACCGGCUAACUCUGUGCCAGCAGCCGCGGUAAUACAGAGGGUGCAAGCGUUAAUCGGAAUUACUGGGCGUAAAGCGCGCGUAGGUGGUUCAGUAAGAUGGGUGUGAAAUCCCCGGGCUUAACCUGGGAACUGCUUUCAUAACUGCUGAGCUAGAGUACGGUAGAGGGUAGUGGAAUUUCCUGUGUAGCGGUGAAAUGCGUAGAUAUAGGAAGGAACACCAGUGGCGAAGGCGACUACCUGGACUGAUACUGACACUGAGGUGCGAAAGCGUGGGGAGCAAAC
rnacentral:rRNA from 1 species